UACGUAGGGUGCGAGCGUUAAUCGGAAUUACUGGGCGUAAAGCGUGCGCAGGCGGUGAUGUAAGACAGAUGUGAAAUCCCCGGGCUCAACCUGGGAACUGCAUUUGUGACUGCAUCGCUGGAGUGCGGCAGAGGGGAUGGAAUUCCGCGUGUAGCAGUGAAAUGCGUAGAUAUGCGGAGGAACACCGAUGGCGAAGGCAAUCCCCUGGGCCUGCCUGACGCUGAGCGCGAAAGCUAGGGGAGCGAACAGGG
rnacentral:rRNA from 1 species